rnacentral:rRNA from 1 species
UGGGGAAUAUUGCGCAAUGGGGGGAACCCUGACGCAGCCAUGCCGCGUGAAUGAAGAAGGCCUUCGGGUUGUAAAGUUCUUUCGGUAUUGAGGAAGGUUGAUGUGUUAAUAGCACAUCAAAUUGACGUUAAAUACAGAAGAAGCACCGGCUAACUCCGUGCCAGCAGCCGCGGUAAUACGGAGGGUGCGAGCGUUAAUCGGAAUAACUGGGCGUAAAGGGCACGCAGGCGGUUAUUUAAGUGAGGUGUGAAAGCCCCGGGCUUAACCUGGGAAUUGCAUUUCAGACUGGGUAACUAGAGUACUUUAGGGAGGGGUAGAAUUCCACGUGUAGUGGUGAAAUGCGUAGAGAUGUGGAGGAAUACCGAAGGCGAAGGCAGCCCCUUGGGAAUGUACUGACGCUCAUGUGCGAAAGCGUGGGGAGCAAACAGGAUUAGAUACCCUGGUAGUCCACGCUGUAAACGCUGUCGAUUUGGGGGUUGGGGUUUAACUCUGGCGCCCGUAGCUAACGUGAUAAAUCGACCGCCUGGGGAGUACGGCCGCAAGGUUA